rnacentral:rRNA from 1 species
GAACCGUACGAACGUUAUUCGGAAUCACUGGGCUUAAAGGGUGCGUAGGCGGCCCGGUAAGUUGGGUGUGAAAUCCCUCGGCUCAACCGAGGAACUGCGCUCAAUACUGCCGGACUUGAGGGAGACAGAGGUGAGCGGAACUUGCGGUGGAGCGGUGAAAUGCGUUGAUAUCGCAAGGAACACCCGUGGCGAAAGCGGCUCACUGGGUCUCUUCUGACGCUGAGGCACGAAAGCUGGGGGAGCGAACGGGGAUUAGAUACCCCGGUAGUCCUAGCUGUAAACGAUGAGCACUAGAUCGGAGGGUCCCUCCAUAGCUUUCCCGGUCGUAGCGAAAGUGUUAAGUGCUCCGCCUGGGGAGUAUGGUCGCAAGGCUG